UGGACUAAUGCACAGGGGGCAAGGCCAUUGGCACAUGGAAUCCAAGGGUGCCCAUGCCCCCCUGGGCUCUGGGGGGUGUAAUCAUGCACGGUCAGAAGCUGUGAGGCUGCAGCACGGAAAGGAUCACUCUACACAUGGAUCACUCUCUUCUGGGAGCAGCUGGUACAGCUCCUGGUGCAAGAUAAGGAGGAGCAGCCUGUUUACUGGCUUUCAAGAAAACUGCAGAAAAAAGAUAAUAGCCCAUUUUUGUGAUUUUUACAGGCAAAUGGAGAGUUUUCAUUAGCUAUAUGUAUGCUUCAAAGUAAUGUGUGAAUCCUCUUACCUCAGUGGAUCCAGUGAAAGCAAUUUUAUCAAUGCCAACAUGAGAGGCUAUGGCUGCACCAACAAUUGGGCCAAAUCCUGGCAAAAUAUUGACAACUCCUGGUGGAAAGCCAGCCUGUCAAAAUAGGAAUGAAUGAAGGACUUGGUACAUCUAGUCCAGGCUGCAAAUGGAUUUGUUUGCAUCAAACAAUGCAGCCUGUAUUUGUUCAACAGCUGGGAGGGAAGGGCAGGAGGAAGAAACUUCUUAAAGAAAAAUAAUGGUAAGGAUUUUUUUGCAUCUCUUUAGCAAAAGAAUAAGAACAUAAUAAUUUCCUAGCAUGCAUUAAAGUUUAUCUCAUAUAUACAAUAUAAAACUCAUCCCACUGAAUAAUUUGAAAAAGCAUCUAUAACAAAAUAUAUCUCAUAUGUAUGUAGUUCUCUACAGUAACCUUAAGAACACUCUCAAAGUAUAAGUUAACUUAGAUCCGGUGUUAGUCCAAGGUAAAAUUAUUUGCAUCAGCAGUAAGAAGUCAUAUACAAACAAGAUCCAUACUAUAAUGAUACUGUUUCUUAAACAGGCACCAACACUAUUUUCAUGAGUUCCAAGGUAUUUUUCAGGCUUAUACCUCAUCCAUUUUAAUACAUGUAUCAAUAGUUAAAGGUAGGUAUUGAGCUGUCUCCUUCUCAGGUGGAUGCAUGCAAAAGAAACCAAGCCCUCCUCACAUGUGGGUGUGGGGCAGACCAAGAGCAGGGCACCCAGUCCUGCCCUUGCUGACUUUCCAACAUCUGCUUCAGCAACUCACUGCACACUGUAGGAGCAACCCAGGCUCCUCCUCUGCCUUCCACAAAGCUUUAGUAUGGCCACGAGAAGGUUUAGGUGCAUAGUUGUGCUUUAAUUCC